GCGACCCCAGGUCAGGCGGGGUUACCCGCUGAAUUU
rnacentral:rRNA from 1 species